UGGUUUACCUGGCAGGGUAGAUACAUGAUCAUGAAGGUGGUUUCCCCAGGGUGAGGCUCACUCAUUGCACUCUGGCUGUGCUGACCCCUGUGAUUUACCUAAAUGUGGGUAAUUCGACAGCAUAAUUUGUGGUAGUGGGGGACUGCGUUCGCGCUCUCCCUUG